UCCCCUCCAGUCUUUAGAGAGAGCAAGAAUGAUCCUGUGGGUCAAUGUGUUAUCCUUACUAGCAGUCCUCAGAGGUGUCCAAUCUCAGGCCCAGUUGGUGGAAUCUGGGGGAGAUGUGAAAAGACCUGGAGAGACCCUCCAGAUCUCCUGCCAAGCUUCUGGAUUCACCUUCAGCAGCUAUGGCAUGCACUGGGUGAGGCAGGCUCCAGGAAAAGGACUGGAAUGGGUUGUAAGCAUCUCUCCUGAUUCCAGUGGAAAGUUCUACUCAGACAAAGUGAAGGGACGCUUCACCAUCUCCAGGGACAAUGCCAAAAGCCAGCUGUAUCUGCAGAAGAACAGCCUCAAACCAGAGGACUCAGGCAUCUAUUACUGUGCAGGAGACACAAAAACAGGGAAAAAAUAG